GCGCCGGCCCCAGAAAGGACGGCGGGGAUUCCCGGGAAAGCUCCCGUUAGUGAGGAAGCUUAAGCCGAAAGGGCUUCGGGGGCCGAACCCCGCGUUUAAAGCCUGAACAAAUUGAGAGCCUAAGAUUAAGUGAUUCCCUGGGGGUCAGAGUCAGGGUCACAUCCCGCAGCCAGGUUCGCUGUGCGCCCGGUCUGGGGGAUGGGCUGGGUUGGGAGGCUCCUCGGUCUCGCUAGAAAUCCUGGCUGAAAGGGACGUUAACAGCCACUGCAGAGGGGAAACGUACAAUGGUCCCGGAUCUUGAAUCAAAGAACUUGGCGGCAGGCCCUGAGAGAAGCAGCUCUGCCCAGAGCAGCAUAGUUUGUGAGCGGUUUCUACCUAGCUCCCCUGACUCCGAAGCCAGCGGACUCCUUGGGGCUGGUGUCUUGGGUACCGCAGGAAGCCUUCUGGGCCUGACGCCGUACAUUACUUAAGUGCCAGAGACACGCUGUGUCCUGAGGGCCUGAUUGUCCGCUCCAAAGAUCAGUUGUGUAUCCCCAGCUUUUCUUGAGGCUGCCUUUUAUCGCUUUUGACUUCAUUUCCCUCUUCUUUGACUACUUUGUGGUAUAAUAGAAUCCUCUCUCUUUUUUUGAUUUUCUUUAAGCAUUUUUUCAAAUCCCUCCCUUUCUCCCCACCUUCUCCAGUUUGCCUUUCUUGAUGUCUUCCUCCUUUAAUUUAGUACCGUACGGACAUAUAAUAUGAAUUGGUGUAUGACUACCAUCUUGGAAAGUAUUUAUGCUCCUAAAAGGAGAAUAAAUAUGGGAGCUGGGUCUUCAGUAUCACAGUUGAAGUAACAGAUUUGUCAAAGAUGUUCUCACAUUUACCUGCUUUCCUGGCCAUCAUCAAAACCAGCUGCUGACCUGUUGCCAUGGCGUGGCAAGCCAGCUCCAGAACUCAGGACCAACCAGCAGGCAAGUCAGUUUCACUGAAUCGGCAGGGCACCCUGAAGAGGAGAUGGGAGAGCUCAGGUGCUGAGCAAGGCAAACUAGUGUCAGCACUUCAAUAACUACUUCCCUUCAGACAGAUGUGGCCAUGAUUCUAAGCCUAAGAGGACCCUUGGCCCUGACUGCAGUCAUUCCAUCAUCCAGGGAAUCAGCCUUGUGGAAAGUGGACCUAACCCCUGUUUGGACAACCCCUGACUUUGCAGCCAAAGCUACUGUGCACCUGGAGAAAAUGGGGCUUAUUGCCCAAGGUCUGUGCAUUGUCAGGUGAUUCAGUGUUGAAAUAGAUACAAUUUUAACACUGGAAAAUAACAUAAAACAGGAUGUGUUACCAUCUCCUUGCCACUGCACCUUAAAGACCUUGGGCUUGGACCAUCUGAAACCUGCUGUUUCUUUUCCCCUUACUAGAAUGUGAACUAUUUGAAUGCAGAAAUUUCUGUAAACAAUACUUGGCAAUGUGUUUUAUGCAUAGUAAUCAUUUAAUAAGUGAUUCACUCAUUCAUGGUCAGACACUUACCUUUUGCCCCAGCAAUGUUAAAGAGCACAGGAAAAAAAAAAUCGAGAGAUAUCAGACAGGAGUCCUUUGUAAACUUCUGGCCAACUGGACCUAAUCAUAAUGACCUAAUUGCCUCACUGCUUAGUGGAGAUUGUGCUGCACUUUUCCAGAAGAAGCUGACUUGUGAGUUGGCAAAAGAAAAACUUGACUCCCUCCAAUCUACGCUUCAGGGAGAAUUCUUCAGAUUAUAAACUUUGUGAUUUCUGUUCAGGAACAUGGACAUACACAGAAAGAAAAGACUAACUCAGAAACAAGUUAAAAACUGACAAAUUCUUUUUGGUUUCCUUGAAAGUAACUAGGCUAGAGAGCUGCUUUUGCUUUUUUGGAUUUUCUAUCCAGCUGCAAUAAUCACAAUUAAAAGAGAAAAGGAAAAACAUCACUAUUCAUUUGUUAACUGUAAAAAUGCAAUUCCAGCAGUAAUUGCAAUGGUUUGCAAUUUCCCCAGGUCAAUAAAUAGCUCCCAUAACUUUAAUAAACAUUGAUGCUCUGGG
rnacentral:lncRNA from 1 species